AAAAGCACACAAGUGAGCCCACAUCAGAUUAAACGCCACCCGGGACCCAGUUGGACAGGAUUGGGAUUGUUGGGAAUCAUGAGGAGCAGAAAUUCGUGACUCUCUACAGGCUCACUGAAAGCCUGCAGAACCCUAUCAAGGACCCCUGGGGAGGGGGACUCCACUUUGGGAUCCACUUCUUCUUCAAGCCACUGCUUCCAUAAAAUAAAAAAAUAGAGAUAAAAAGAAACUUCUGAAGCAGCUUCUGUCUUUGAAAGAAAGUCUGUUUUUAAGUCAGUGGAGUUUUGAACUGGGUCAUACUGUCAUUGGCUCCGGGUUUGGUCCUCUGUGUGGCCGAGAGCCCUCCUCUGUCCACUUAUGACUGAUGCUCCUGCAAACUGGGUUAGCUUACUAAAUAGUGCACAUACUGUAUACCUUUAUAGUUGGCUAUAUGUGAUAUAUUCUGAGCUCCUAGGUAAGAAAAUAUUUGGAAAAUCUGAGCAUUUGACAGAUCUGUCCUUAGGGUAGGACUGUUAGAAGUUGCAAUUCACUUAGUUAUUUAUUAAGUACAUUAAAAUAUGUAUAGUUUAGAUGAUGUGGCACUUGAAUAUUUCUAUUUUAAGAUACUGUGUUUCCACUACAUUUGUCUGACGGCAGAUUUAUGCUACUAAUGUGUAAAAAAAAGUGCUUCCAAAAUGUAAGAUUUUCAGGAACUGUGAUGGUCUUUUUUGGCACCAUCUAGAUUUGUAUUUAUAGACAUUGAAAAUGUUGAGAGUUUCUCUAGCUGUGGACGAGCAUGUCAGCUUCAAACAAGUCGCUUUUCGCUUCUAACAACUUCACACUACUUCCUCCUUUUGCUCGUGAAGGACAAGAGUCGUAAUUCCUACAGGCACUGGAGGUCAUUCUCACUUCAACGUAUAAACUGUGGUUUUAAAAAAAAAGGCAUUUGUUGAAAGCGAAUUCCCCACCGCUGGAGCUUAGUUCACUGGGACAGCAGUUUGACUUUCUACUUGAGAAAACCCUCAAUUAAAGAGAGUAUAGAAGAGCAUUUUAAUGCCGCUUGAUCAUUUAAAACACUGAGCCAAGGAUCAUUAAUGAUGUGAUACAAACUAGUGUCCCAGGAAUUGC